UAAGAAACGGACGAAUCUUUAAGAAUUUUUCAUAAACUUUCAGUAGAAUGAUUAACGAUUAGUCUAUUAGCAAAUGUAGUUACGGAAUAUGUCGAAUGCUGAGUUCAAACACACGAUGUAUGCUCUGGUCAGUGGAAUUAUUCCGGAGGUCAAAGGUCUAACUCGUACAAGACACGGUCAGAAAAAUCCACGAGCUUAUGGUCAUCACGUGGCACACACGCCAGGAACAUAGAAAAACUACGAAAAAAGAGUGCAAAGGCGAAGGUCGGGUAAAAUCGUUCCUGUUGUUUCGCCGCGAGAUUUCACGAGCCAACGAAGCAGGAAGAUAUCGCGUAGCUUCUGUUAUCACAAGCGGAGCGGCGAAGAAGAGGCACAAGUAAGGUUAAGAAAAAAGAAACGAGCCAUAACCUCGAGUGACAUGAUUGCUAGGGUCGCGUUAUUACUAGGCUAAUGACGCAAUUGUAUCGCGAUGCGCAUCGCAGGGGGUCUCCGUUGUCAUUGUUGUUUUCCACUUUGAACGUUGCACACGCAUCCUCUUUUCUUCGCUCUCUCUCUCUCUUUCUCUCUCUCUCUCUCCCUUUUCUACUCUCCGCUUUUUCAUUCCGUCGACCAGAACCCAAUGUGUCUCGCUUAGAUUCUCUGUUUUCAUCGUGGUACGCGAUCCAAGUUAUUUCAUGGAUUAUCAAGAAUCGACGUCAAUGACGCGUGCUCGAUUUCUCAGAGGCGCGUGAUGAUGAAAUCUCACCAUCUAAUUACUCGCCAUCGAUCGGAAUUUUCAAGCGUCGCGCUCAAACAGCUCGAGAGAAACAGUUUUUGCGCGUUUCGGUGUUUCCGUGAUCUAUGCGCGUCCUUGUCGAUCAAUGGAAGAGGCGUAAGAUUUACAAUCAGACGCAUACGAAUUUCGUGGCUAGUUUCGUCGAAGGUACGACAACAUGCGAUACAUGAUAGGAAAGCGAACGAAAAAUGUACCGAUAGCCCUAUAAUAGCUUUGAUAACCCUUUUCCCGGUCGACCGAUAGCCGGACCAGUUGAAAUAAUGAAUUUCAUCCUCCACUCGAUAUUAUUCUUCUCAGCUUCCACACGCGGAUGGCUGGAGCCUAUCAACGAUUAGAUAGAAGGGUUACUUGGACAAAAAAGACAUGGCAAAUACUGGAACAUUUGGAAUGGAAAUCACGCGACCGCUUCUCGUCGAUAAACUUCAAGUUCGAACAAACUGAAAUCGAAUCGAAUUAAAUCGCUGAAACGACGAAAUGAAGGUAACAAUCCAUGAAUGGAGGAGGGGAGGGCCAUGGAAGAUUUAGAACGACGAAGGAAUACUUUAUCUGAUGACUGUACGAAUUCCAAGAAACACCCCUCUCCCGUCUCAAUUUACCCGCUCGCGGCUCCUGUACAAAAGUAGGUUCUCGUCGGUUCCUCGUAAAACCCCCUACGUGCAUACUCGCACACCUACUUUUAUCAGGCCCACUCGUGCCUACACGUUCCACCGAGUGGGCACGCUUGUAUACGAGUCCGGUGUGACGAGUCAGCAGUAACCGAGAUUUCGACACGGACCUCCAGGUAUUCCCUGAUGUAGCUGCCAUCGACAAAUGGAGGUACCUAAUGAUCGUCAUUGCAUUCGCCGUAAAUUUUGCUUAUGUAGAACUGGCAGAGUAACUCGUACAGGGAGCACACGCAAAGACAAACAUUGAGAGAUACAAUUUCGAAUCGCUAUUGCAUCAGCUUCCCAUUCACAGACACGUGUACCAUCGUUCGAUAUUCGUAGUUUACAAAAAAUUUAGCUCUUCCUUCGAUAUUUUAAAUUAUCUUCUAUUCCCGAGAAGCAAUUUUUUUUUAUAUACUUAACGAAAUGACAUAUUUAUAUAAUUUCUAUGAAUGAUACUGGAAACAUACUACGACCUCGCUUGACAAACUAUCGUUUCAUAUAAAACGUUCAAUUACUUAAACUCUGUGUUCCACUAAUGUAAAAGUAUCGUUCUACGUGGACAUCGAUAUAGGUAAGUACUUUCGCAUAGGUAAGAGUUAUUCACGCGUGUUUCGUUUUAGCAUAAAAAAA